rnacentral:rRNA from 1 species
GGGUUGUGAGGUUAAGCGACUAAGCGUACACGGUGGAUGCCCUGGCAGUCAGAGGCGAUGAAGGACGUGCUAAUCUGCGAUAAGCGUCGGUAAGGUGAUAUGAACCGUUAUAACCGGCGAUUUCCGAAUGGGGAAACCCAGUGUGUUUCGACACACUAUCAUUAACUGAAUCCAUAGGUUAAUGAGGCGAACCGGGGGAACUGAAACAUCUAAGUACCCCGAGGAAAAGAAAUCAACCGAGAUUCCCCCAGUAGCGGCGAGCGAACGGGGAGGAGCCCAGAGCCUGAAUCAGUGUGUGUGUUAGUGGAAGCGUCUGGAAAGGCGCGCGAUACAGGGUGACAGCCCCGUACACAAAAAUGCACAUGCUGUGAGCUCGAUGAGUAGGGCGGGACACGUGGUAUCCUGUCUGAAUAUGGGGGGACCAUCCUCCAAGGCUAAAUACUCCUGACUGACCGAUAGUGAACCAGUACCGUGAGGGAAAGGCGAAAAGAACCCCGGCGAGGGGAGUGAAAAAGAACCUGAAACCGUGUACGUACAAGCAGUGGGAGCACGCUUAGGCGUGUGACUGCGUACCUUUUGUAUAAUGGGUCAGCGACUUAUAUUCUGUAGCAAGGUUAACCGAAUAGGGGAGCCGAAGGGAAACCGAGUCUUAACUGGGCGUUAAGUUGCAGGGUAUAGACCCGAAACCCGGUGAUCUAGCCAUGGGCAGGUUGAAGGUUGGGUAACACUAACUGGAGGACCGAACCGACUAAUGUUGAAAAAUUAGCGGAUGACUUGUGGCUGGGGGUGAAAGGCCAAUCAAACCGGGAGAUAGCUGGUUCUCCCCGAAAGCUAUUUAGGUAGCGCCUCGUGAAUUCAUCUCCGGGGGUAGAGCACUGUUUCGGCAAGGGGGUCAUCCCGACUUACCAACCCGAUGCAAACUACGAAUACCGGAGAAUGUUAUCACGGGAGACACACGGCGGGUGCUAACGUCCGUCGUGAAGAGGGAAACAACCCAGACCGCCAGCUAAGGUCCCAAAGUCAUGGUUAAGUGGGAAACGAUGUGGGAAGGCCCAGACAGCCAGGAUGUUGGCUUAGAAGCAGCCAUCAUUUAAAGAAAGCGUAAUAGCUCACUGGUCGAGUCGGCCUGCGCGGAAGAUGUAACGGGGCUAAACCAUGCACCGAAGCUGCGGCAGCGACGCUGAUGCGUUGUUGGGUAGGGGAGCGUUCUGUAAGCCUGCGAAGGUGUGCUGUGAGGCAUGCUGGAGGUAUCAGAAGUGCGAAUGCUGACAUAAGUAACGAUAAAGCGGGUGAAAAGCCCGCUCGCCGGAAGACCAAGGGUUCCUGUCCAACGUUAAUCGGGGCAGGGUGAGUCGACCCCUAAGGCGAGGCCGAAAGGCGUAGUCGAUGGGAAACAGGUUAAUAUUCCUGUACUUGGUGUUACUGCGAAGGGGGGACGGAGAAGGCUAUGUUGGCCGGGCGACGGUUGUCCCGGUUUAAGCGUGUAGGCUGGUUUUCCAGGCAAAUCCGGAAAAUCAAGGCUGAGGCGUGAUGACGAGGCACUACGGUGCUGAAGCAACAAAUGCCCUGCUUCCAGGAAAAGCCUCUAAGCAUCAGGUAACAUCAAAUCGUACCCCAAACCGACACAGGUGGUCAGGUAGAGAAUACCAAGGCGCUUGAGAGAACUCGGGUGAAGGAACUAGGCAAAAUGGUGCCGUAACUUCGGGAGAAGGCACGCUGAUAUGUAGGUGAAGUCCCUCGCGGAUGGAGCUGAAAUCAGUCGAAGAUACCAGCUGGCUGCAACUGUUUAUUAAAAACACAGCACUGUGCAAACACGAAAGUGGACGUAUACGGUGUGACGCCUGCCCGGUGCCGGAAGGUUAAUUGAUGGGGUCAGCGCAAGCGAAGCUCUUGAUCGAAGCCCCGGUAAACGGCGGCCGUAACUAUAACGGUCCUAAGGUAGCGAAAUUCCUUGUCGGGUAAGUUCCGACCUGCACGAAUGGCGUAAUGAUGGCCAGGCUGUCUCCACCCGAGACUCAGUGAAAUUGAACUCGCUGUGAAGAUGCAGUGUACCCGCGGCAAGACGGAAAGACCCCGUGAACCUUUACUAUAGCUUGACACUGAACAUUGAGCCUUGAUGUGUAGGAUAGGUGGGAGGCUUUGAAGUGUGGACGCCAGUCUGCAUGGAGCCGACCUUGAAAUACCACCCUUUAAUGUUUGAUGUUCUAACGUUGACCCGUAAUCCGGGUUGCGGACAGUGUCUGGUGGGUAGUUUGACUGGGGCGGUCUCCUCCUAAAGAGUAACGGAGGAGCACGAAGGUUGGCUAAUCCUGGUCGGACAUCAGGAGGUUAGUGCAAUGGCAUAAGCCAGCUUGACUGCGAGCGUGACGGCGCGAGCAGGUGCGAAAGCAGGUCAUAGUGAUCCGGUGGUUCUGAAUGGAAGGGCCAUCGCUCAACGGAUAAAAGGUACUCCGGGGAUAACAGGCUGAUACCGCCCAAGAGUUCAUAUCGACGGCGGUGUUUGGCACCUCGAUGUCGGCUCAUCACAUCCUGGGGCUGAAGUAGGUCCCAAGGGUAUGGCUGUUCGCCAUUUAAAGUGGUACGCGAGCUGGGUUUAGAACGUCGUGAGACAGUUCGGUCCCUAUCUGCCGUGGGCGCUGGAGAACUGAGGGGGGCUGCUCCUAGUACGAGAGGACCGGAGUGGACGCAUCACUGGUGUUCGGGUUGUCAUGCCAAUGGCACUGCCCGGUAGCUAAAUGCGGAAGAGAUAAGUGCUGAAAGCAUCUAAGCACGAAACUUGCCCCGAGAUGAGUUCUCCCUGACCCUUUAAGGGUCCUGAAGGAACGUUGAAGACGACGACGUUGAUAGGCCGGGUGUGUAAGCGCAGCGAUGCGUUGAGCUAACCGGUACUAAUGAACCGUGAGGCUUAACCUUACAACGCCGAAGGUGUUU